rnacentral:rRNA from 1 species
GAUCCUGGCUCAGGUUGAACGCUGGCGGCAGGCCUAACACAUGCAAGUCGAACGGUAACAGGAAGCAGCUUGCUGCUUCGCUGACGAGUGGCGGACGGGUGAGUAAUGUCUGGGAAACUGCCUGAUGGAGGGGGAUAACUACUGGAAACGGUAGCUAAUACCGCAUAACGUCGCAAGACCAAAGAGGGGGACCUUCGGACCUCUUGCCAUCGGAUGUGCCCAGAUGGGAUUAGCUAGUAGGUGGGG